rnacentral:siRNA from 1 species
ACGGGAAAGUCCACGGUGGGAA